rnacentral:snRNA from 1 species
AUCGCUUCUCGGCCUUUUGGCUAAGAUCAAGUAUAGUAUCUGUUCUUAUCAGUUUAAUAAAUACUGCAACACAAAAAUAAUUACUGUUAAUGUUUUGGUCUUGAUACCUUAUAAUUAUGAGAUAUUCAUUUUAGCAUUAUUAGAAUUACC